GCCAGGAUAGCUCAGCGGUAGAGCAACUGUUUUGUAAACAGUAGGUCGUGGGUUCGAAUCCCUCUCCUGGCU
rnacentral:tRNA from 2 species